rnacentral:pre_miRNA from 1 species
AUGUUUGCGGACGCAGCAUCAUCAAGAUUCAGAUCGGGGUAAUGAGAAGUGACGGUCGGAUAUAUUAACCCGAUGAGAGAAUCUUGAUGAUGCUGCGUCGGCAAUAAA